rnacentral:tRNA from 1 species
GAGGGUAUAGCUCAAUUGAUAGAGUGCUUGUCUAGUAUGCACAAGGCCCUGGGUUCAAUCCCUAGCACCACCA